GACGAACGCUGGCGGCGUGCUUAACACAUGCAAGUCGAGCGGAGCGGCGAACGGGUGAGUAACGCGUGAGUAACUGCCCCCCUCUCUGGGAUAACAGUUGGAAACGGCUGCUAAUACCGGAUAGUGUGGGAUGGCUCGCGUCCUAUCGGCUUGUUGGGGGGGUAGUGGCCUACCAAGGCGACGAAGGGUAGCCGGCCUGGGAAGGCGACCGGCCACAAUGGGCUGAGAGAGGGCCCAAAGUCCUACGGGGGGCAGCAGUGGGGAAUAUUGCACAAUGGGGGAAACCCUGAUGCAGCAACGCGCGUGCGGAAUGACGUCCUUCUGGUUGUAAACCGCUUUCAGCCAUGACGCGGUAGUGGCAGAAGAAGCACCGGCUAACUACGUGCCAGCAGCCGCGGUAAUUC
rnacentral:rRNA from 1 species